AGAGUUUGAUCAUGGCUCAGAAUCAACGCUGGCGGCGUGCCUAACACAUGCAAGUCGAACGCGAAAGUGGAGCAAUCCAUGAGUAGAGUGGCAAACGGGUGAGUAACGCGUGGGUGACCUGCCUUCGAGCGGGGGAUAACGUUCCGAAAGGGACGCUAAUACCGCAUGACAUCCUGCCUUUGAAGAGGCGGAGAUCAAAGCUGGGGAUCGCAAGACCUAGCACUCGAUGAGGGGCCCGCGUCUGAUUAGCUAGUUGGUGGGGUAACGGCUCACCAAGGCAACGAUCAGUAUCCGGCCUGAGAGGGCGGACGGACACACUGGGACUGAGACACGGCCCAGACUCCUACGGGAGGCAGCAGUGGGGAAUUGUUCGCAAUGGGCGCAAGCCUGACGACGCAACGCCGCGUGGAGGAUGAAGAUCUUCGGGUCGUAAACUCCUUUCGAUCGAGACGAACAGCCUUCGGGUAAACAAUCCGGAGGUUUGACGGUACCGAGAGAAGAAGCCCCGGCUAACUCCGUGCCAGCAGCCGCGGUAAUACGGGGGGGGCAAGCGUUGUUCGGAAUUACUGGGCGUAAAGGGCUCGUAGGCGGCCAACUAAGUCAGACGUGAAAUCCCUCGGCUUAACCGGGGAACUGCGUCUGAUACUGGAUGGCUUGAGUUUGGGAGAGGGAUGCGGAAUUCCAGGUGUAGCGGUGAAAUGCGUAGAUAUCUGGAGGAACACCGGUGGCGAAGGCGGCAUCCUGGACCAACACUGACGCUGAGUGAGCGAAAGCCAGGGGAGCAAACGGGAUUAGAUACCCUAGUAGUCC
rnacentral:rRNA from 1 species